ACAGCAGAGCAGGCUGGAUUUGGGGUGUCAGCACAGCACAGAGCUGUUUCUGCCAACAGCAGCACAGGCUAAUGCUCAAGGAAAAAUGCUCUUCCCAAAAAAACCCAUGCAUUGUAAUGUCCCAGAGUGUCUGGGGAAGGAAGGGGUGAGAGGGAUCUCUCCUGUCCUGGUGUUCUUCAACUACCAGUUUAAGCUCCAUUACAUUCACCAGCACGUUGUGGAAAUAAUGGAAUUUCCUGGACUGUGGACAAAAAGUCCUUGAAAUAAUGGGAGCCUUAGAGUGUGGACAGAGGCUGGGACACCCUGGGAUGGAGACGACUCAGUCACAAAGGGCUUUUUGAUUGUGAACAAAGCACCCAAGACCGAGUAGUUCCAGGUCCACAAGAUCCAAAACCCCUCAGAGAAGAUCCCAGUGGUUUAUGCUGAUAUCCAUGGAAGCCCAAUGCUUGGCACCCUGGUUAACAGAGCAAUUGAGUGAGGAGAAGGACAACUUGCUCUCCCCAGCUGCAAAAUUAUCUGGUCUUCAAGGAAAUGCUGCACAACUUGGCGAGGACUCGAUGUGAUAACGCUGAGGAGUGAUCAGACAGUCAGCCACCAAACCACGAUGUUGUCUGCUGAGGAAAACCCACAAGCUGUCAAGAAAGCUGUGGGAUGUUUUGUGACACAAUCUGUCAAUUAUCCAAGGUGAAUGCCGUUAUUUAUAGAUGGAUUUCUUUUCCUCUUGUAAUUCCAUGCCUUCUCAGUCUUACAGUAAGCCACCUGGCCAGUGUGAAUAUGCACGGUAAUUUCAAGGUAAUAUAUUAUUCUGUAUAAUAAAAACAAGUCAUCUGGUUGUUUUUAGUGAAGUUGUCUAAGACUGUUCCCAUGGGCUUCCCACCUCCCAGGGAGAACUUGAAAUCUGCUCUGUUUCAUCAUCACUUUUGUGUCAUUUCCUACUGAGAUGAGUGGCACCAAGACAAUUUCCAGACAUGGUUAUUUGUUCUCCUUGACCUGAGUGACUGCUGUUUUCUAAGCCAUUUGUAGUGUCAGUCCUGGGAUUUGACACUUGUUCUUCUCCAGUUGGGGAUUAUAAUAUUGUAUCUUUCACUCAAGCUCCUUAUUAAUUUUUUGGAGGCAGUUACAAUGGAGCUGUUCCAAAAAUUUGUUCCAUAGCAACACUUAAAUCUGCAAAUCAGGCCAAUUUCACCAAUGUCCUAUAACUUGAUAAUUCAGUUUACACCAAGUAAAAAACGUUUCCCUGGACCACCAACCUGAAUUCUAUACAGAGUGUUUAACAACAAUGACUACUUAUGGGUUUGGUUUUUCACCCACACCUAAGGAAACUUUAACAUACUCUGCUCCCAGCUGUGCCUGUAACCUGCAGAGAUAGACUGAGAACAGCUUACAACUCCAAAUAUUUCCCCCCUUUGAAUUCUGUCCAUCGUUUCCUUGUUGGUUCCCCUCUCAAAGUAAACAGUUCCAUGAAAAUUUAAGCAAUCUUGAAUGAGGUCUUUGCAGUGACCUUAUGGCUUAGAAGCACAUGAACCCAGAGCUCAUUGGGCAAUAAUUUCCUAUUGUUCAUAUACAAUCUCAGCCUGAAAAUGAGAUGUGUGUCCCUAAAGCCAGCUUCUACUCUGGUUGAGCAAUGUGUUGUCAGGCCCCUCUUUCAGCAGCUGUCAUCUGUAAGCUCAAGCAUAAACUCAGAUGACCUGAGCAGUUCAGCUCUUCUGGAUUACCAGAAAGAGUCCCACAGCCUAAAUAAGGCACUACAAAAAUGUCUGAAGGUCAGUCUAGAGAGGUUUUGAAGUCUAGUGCCACCUGGAAGGCUGUUGAUCCAUCCUUGCUCUCUGUGGAAGUUUGCAUUUCCGUAUGCCUGGUUACAUUGCACCCCAGCAGAGCCCUCUAAAAUUCUGAGUAAAAGUUCUUCAAAUAAUGCAUAAGGUGCUCCUCUUGUAUCACUACUGCCCCACUGAUGACUCUCUAGGGCUGUACCUCAUGGAGGAGCUACUCCUUUACUCCAUCCUUUGCAGAGGAAACUUUUGGGUGGAGAACAGCAGGACCCAACCCCUGAAGGCAGUGUCCUGAAUCAGAUCAUCAUGUUCAGAGAAUUCA